UUGCAACCCGCCUAGCUGGUGCGAGUAAAGUGGAGAUUACAGGACUGCGACCGACAGUCUGCUGCUCUUACCGGUGUCAAGAGUAACGGCAUCAAACGCACCAUAUCCGGUUACAUUUCAAAGCACUGGCACACGAUCCACAGAGAGGAGAGAAGAGGAGUGGGAGGAGUGGGAGGAGGAGGAAAGUCCAGCAUCCCCAGAACACCAGAACAACAGAAGCAGUUUGAAGGGCCCACCAGGCCAUCUUUAAUUCAAGUCUUUCUCAGCUGCCACCCAGCAGCCAUGGGGCAUCCAAAGGGCUGAGUCACUGGCUGAACUGAAGAUAUGCCAAGAAGAACAGACAGGGGGAAAGCCCAGGCCUCUCCCUCUGCAGCCGGGGAAUCACUCCUCAUUAUAAGUGGACGUGGUUUAUUGGGUCACCUCCAUUCUCGUGGCCCGGGUUGUUGGAGCGUGGUUGUGGGGGAUUCGAGCAGAGGCAGCUGGAUUUGCAUGAUGGUAUGAGCACUGAUAUGUGUCACAGGGGGUGAUAUGCAGUCUUGCAAAAUGACUGAACCAACUUGCCUGACUCGAUUAGAAGGAGUUCUCUUGAAAUGCAGCGUUGUUUUAGAAAUGCAUUGAAUAUCGCGGCCAGUGGGCAUCACUGACAUCUCCCUGGGGGUGCUUUCACUGAGAUGCAGUCAUGUGUGCUGUAGAUGGUGUAAUCUGUUGGCAGGCAGCAGUCAAAUCUUUGCGUGUACACUUUCAGAUUAAAGCAUUUAUCUGGACAUUUUUAAUCUGGAUCCACAAUAUAAAGAACAUUUCCGACCAAAAUAUUAUUAGGUUGCAAAAUACCUUGACAAAAGAGUGGGAAUUAAGAUUUACAGUAUGUGUGUCCGCUGAGUCUUGUCCCUUAUGAAAAUCUGAAAUAAAGUCAUGUGUGGCAAUCAGGCUGUUCACUGCUGUGGUUCUCCAUCAUCUCAUUUCCCCCAUCACAGUGUCAACCACAGGGUCAGCUCUCAUGAUGCUCAUACGUGACCUAUGAGAAGCAGCUCCUCUGUGUAUCGCUGCUCAUUUAGCACCCAGGUGGUAUGGAGAGAAGAGAACAAACAUAUCAUGCUGGCUGAAGGGACACCUCGCUAUUUUCACAACCUCUCCAACUCACUCAAGCCCCCUGACAACCCCACAACCUAUAAAACAGUAGAAAGAAAGAGAAAGACAUUGUGUGUAGGCGUUUCCAGCAGUUUGUGUCUGAGGGUUUGAUUAAGACUUUGGAGGACCGUUAUUGUUGCUGGUGCAUGCUAAUUGCCUCUGAGUGGCAUCUUAUCAGGCU